rnacentral:rRNA from 1 species
CGAUGAAGAACGCAGCGAAAUGCGAUAAGUAAUGUGAAUUGCAGAAUUCAGUGAAUCAUCGAAUCUUUGAACGCACCUUGCGCCCCUUGGCUAUUCCGAGGGGCAUGCCUGUUUGAGUAUCAUGAACACCUCAACUCUCAUGGUUUGCCAUGAUGAGUUGGACUCUGGGGGUUUUGCUGGCCUGUGGUCGGCUCCUCUUAAAUUAAUCAGCCUCCCAGUGUUUGGUGGCAUCAUGGGUGUGAUAAAUAUCUACGCUCGCUGUUGUCUGCCAGGUAACCUUUGGUAACAAAGGUUUGCUGGAGCUCACAGAUGUCUCUCCUCAGCGAGGACUAACUUUUUAACGUUCGAUCUCAAAUCAGGUAGGACUACCCGCUGAACUUAA